AUAACAUUGUAAGCUUUAGGCCCCGUUCGUUUCGGCCGGAUUGGCCCAUUCCCGGCCUUGUUCCGGGUGGAACAAAUUGGCUCGGUUUAGAAUUUGGUGGAACAAAUUGGUCCCGUUCGUUUCGGUCGGAUCUGGAACUAAAAUUGGCCUGGUUUGAAGUUUACCCUCUCUCCACAGCCCGACACCAAUCCUGGUCUCAUCCCUUCCGGAUUGAACCCUGCUGUGAUGCGAGACAGCGCAAUGCUGGCGGCGCGGGAGGCGAAUAAGCGGCUGCGCGCAGCGCCGACGGCGACCCUCCCCACCGCCUUCUCACUGAUCCCUACAACACCAAUUAUAGUUGGGGAAGGUGAACCUCCCUCUUGGGAUCCGGUACCAACUCUAAAAGUUCUACAAUGAGUAUGUCAUUACGAGAUCAUAUUAGAAAGAGGAGGGAAGAAGAAGAUGAUGACAUGAUGUUGUUUAUUUUCCCUGCCUUAUAUCUGAUGGGUUCAACUAGAAGUGGGGGGACAAAAGAAGAAACGCCAUACAUCAGAUGAGACAACUCCGUAUGUGUAUUGUCAAGUAUUGGGAAGACAACUCCGUAUGUGUGACCAUUGUUAUUACUGUAUUUGCUUAUGUAGCUGAUUACUUAUAUAACUGUUUCUUGGCGAGUAUGCGUGAACAAUUGCAAGUCUUUUUGUUAUUACUGUAUGUAUUAAAUUGAUUUGAACAAAUUGAGUGCAUCGUGAUUGUGUACA